CGUAAAGCGAAGGUAGUGCUUCUCUCUUGACGAUGGUUGUUUUUGUUCUACGACAUAUCGACCUAUCCUGUGCUGUUGCAAUUUGUUGAUAUCUGUUUUUUAGUCCCUAAACUGUUGACUUAUGCACAUUAAAUCGAGCCAAGACGUCAGCAACACUCAUGUCGGCAUCAACCAUUCCAAGAGCCAUCUGACGGUCAUUUUCGGAGAGGCCUGAUUGACGUCCCAUGCAAUUUUUUCAAACGUUUAUGUGUUUUUCUUACCAAUGGUGUGUUUCUGAACGCUGGUGCAAAAAAAAUUAAAUUUCGUUUUAAAAGUAUAAGUACAGAAGGUAAAACAUCAAUUACACGCGCAAAGCUGAAAUGGCGCGAAAUUAAUCACGUGGAAAAAAGUACGACUGCUUAAAAAUCCAGAUAAAACUAAGGAUUAUAUCAAUGAUGUUUGAUAAAAAAAAACAACAAAAACAACCAAA
rnacentral:lncRNA from 1 species